rnacentral:lncRNA from 1 species
UUUUUUUUUUUUUUUGAGACGGAGUCUCGCUCUGUCGCCCAGACUGGAGUACAGUGGCCGGAUCUCAGCUCACUGCAAGCUCCGCCUCCCAGGUUCACGCCAUUCUCCUGCCUCAGCCUCCCGAGUAGCUGGGACUACAGGUGCCCGCCACCUCGCCCGGCAAGUGUUUUGUAUUUUUAGUAGAGACGGGGUUUCACCGUGUUAGCCAGGAUGGUCUCGAUCUCCUGACCUCGUGAUCCGCCCGUCUUGGCCUCCCAAAGUGCUGGGAUUACAGGCUUGAGCCACCGCGCCCGGCUUUUCAUUGCAUUUAAAAUAAACUCAUUACUCUGAUUUUAAAAGCUUCAUGAUAUUUGACUUCUUGCCAUGCCUCUAACCUCACCUUUCCCACUCUCCUACCUCAUCUGCCUUGCGCCAGCCUCACUGACCUUUCUGCAAUUCCUCAAACAUGCCAACCUCAUCCCAGCCUUACCCUUCUGCUCAGGUGAUGACUGAAUACAAUUCAUGAUUUUCAAAUCCUAGAUUGCUUGGAAAUAGAUAUGAAGAAUGUUAUUGGGGCAAUUGAGGGAAUUUCAGUAUAGGCUGUGUAUUAGAUAAUAGUUAUAUUAGUGUUAAAUGUCUUCUUUGUUAGUUACAAUUUUUUUUACACAAAUAAAGGCAAAUCAAUGUUAAAUGUCUUUAGUGGGCUAAUCCUACUGUGGUUAUGUAGGAAAAUGUCCUUGUUCUUAGGAGUCACAUGCUAAAGUGUUCAGAGAUUAAAUAUGAUGUCUAACACUUCCGGAGGAAUUGUGGCAAAACAUUGACAACUGGUAAAUCCAAGGGAAGGAUAUAUUGGUGUUCAUAGCAGCAUUCUUUCAACUUUAUCCUGGGUUUGAUUUUUUUCAAAAUAAAAGAGUAAAAGGUAGACGAUUUAAAGAAAAAUACUUUAAUCCAGGAAUACUUAAAAAUCACUAGGGCAUUUGUCAAUGCCCUUCUAAGAUUCAGAAGAUCUGGGUGGGACCCAGGAGUCUGCCUUUUCAUGGCCCGGGCAACCCUCAGGCAGCUGCACAGGCCACACUUUGAGCAGGUUCACUGAGCCCUCUGCCCUUGGAGUGUGGCUCGCUGGCACAGCCCAUUAUUUCCCAUUCUCCAGCUGAGGAGUGGCUGACUGAAAGAUCAGGCAGGUGGAUGGAGACGCGAUUUUACAGUGAGGGUGGAACUGGAGAUUGUGGACAUCGUAGAGAAUGGUGAAGAGCUGAGGAAAGAUUUUGUCUUCCUGCCCUGUCUUUUGGCUUCUGGAGGAAUAGAAGAGGCUCCUAGAACUCAGGGAAAGAAUGGAAUGAGGGCUCCAAACUCCUAAUACCAGUGCUUCUCUGACUCCAUUUUACACCCCCUUGGAUAAAUAUCAUCUGUAAGCAAACAAACAAAAAAAGAAGUC